rnacentral:lncRNA from 1 species
CUGACAUGAGAUCAAAAUUAUAGUUUUAACCAUGUUUUGAGGCUACACAGUGUUUGUUUACAAUUACAUUGUUUACAAACAAUUCAGUAAAACAAGCUUAGCCCCUACAUGUUGGGUUCUGAUGGGAACAACUGUUGAACUAAGCUCAGGAGGCAUUUAUUUUAUAUUUUCAAGAAUAAAUGGUUAUAUCACGAAUUCAAAAGUCCAAAAUGUACCAAUCACAGAUUGCCCUUUUAAACAGAACUGCUAACAUUACAUCAUUUAAUUAUGCUGCUGACUGUCAUGUGUAAGUGGUAAUGUAGUUCCUAUAUCUACACAGAGAAAGACCUGCAAUGGAUCUCAGAAAAAGAACCAGAAUAAGGAAAUACUUGCUCCUGUUGAUGACGAAAACAGAGAAAUGGCAGAGAUGGCCACAUGCGUGCGCUCUGGAGACUGUGAGGCAAGGCUGUGCUGCGUCCGCUAUUUAACAGGGAAAAGACACAUCCCAAAGGAGGGAGAGGCCUGCAUACUGCAAGGAGGACGCGCUAAACUGCGGAGAAAUCUUGAGUACUCUGACUGUGCACACUGGCUAACCUGUUGUGCCCAGGCUGAAAACCCCAAAAACCAAGGAGUUUGAGGGGUAAUCCCUUUUGAGGACACAAGCAUACAGUAAAAAUAUGAUAAAAAGAAGAAAAGAUUUGACAUAUUUUUUAUUCAACAAUAAGGCUUGAAAUGAUUUAUGCUUUCUACAUAUAGUAUAAUCAAAUUAUAAAACUACAAGAUUUCACCUUCUUUAUAACUGUAAAUUACAUAUUUGUAUGUUUAGUGUUAAAGAAAAUGUGCAUAUUUUCUAAAGGUCUCUCUUGAUCAAAAUAUCUGCCCCCACCACUUUGAACGUCACACAAAGCUGUAGCUUGGUUUCCUGAACUCGUUAGGAACUCACCUUUCAUCUCAUAUUAAUGAGGAAUUUGGAAAAUUCUGAAUUACACAGCACACUCCCCUCUUAAAGUACCAUGUGAAUCUAAGAGGGAUAAUUCCUCUAUUGCCUGAAUUAUUUGCUUUGCAUAAAUGGUAGUCAUGUACUGUUAC